rnacentral:rRNA from 1 species
GAUGAAUGCUGGCGGCGUGCCUAAUACAUGCAAGUCGAGCGAAUGGAUUAAGAGCUUGCUCUUAUGAAGUUAGCGGCGGACGGGUGAGUAACACGUGGGUAACCUGCCCAUAAGACUGGGAUAACUCCGGGAAACCGGGGCUAAUACCGGAUAACAUUUUGAACCGCAUGGCUCGAAAUUGAAAGGCGGCUUCGGCUGUCACUUAUGGAUGGACCCGCGUCGCAUUAGCUAGUUGGUGAGGUAACGGCUCACCAAGGCAACGAUGCGUAGCCGACCUGAGAGGGUGGUCGGCCACACUGGGACUGAAAAACGGCCCAGACUCCUACGGGAGGCAGCAGUAGGGAAUCUUCCGCAAUGGACGAAAGUCUGACGGAGCAACGCCGCGUGAGUGAUGAAGGCUUUCGGGUCGUAAAACUCUGUUGUUAGGGAAGAACAAGUGCUAGUUGAAUAAGCUGGCACCUUGACGGUACCUAACCAGAAAGCCACGGCUAACUACGUGCCAGCCGCCGCGGUAA